UACGUAGGGUGCAAGCGUAAUCGGAAUUACUGGGCGUAAAGCGCGCGUAGGCGGCUUUGCAAGUCGGGUGUGAAAUCCCCAGGCUUAACCUGGGAACUGCAUUCGAGACUGCAUUGCUAGAGUAUGGGAGAGGGAAGUGGAAUUUCCGGUGUAGCGGUGAAAUGCGUAGAUAUCGGAAGGAACAUCAGUGGCGAAAGCGACUUCCUGGACCAAUACUGACGCUCAUGUGCGAAAGCGUGGGGAGCAAACAGG
rnacentral:rRNA from 1 species